CCUUGGCACCAGGCCAAGUGGUGGCUACAUAAAUUAGGCUUGGCCUCAGCCCUUAGCCACACACCCUCCUGACAACAUGAGACCCAGCAGCUUCUUGGUUCUGGCGGUUCUCCUCGUCCUCGGCAUGCUGGUGGGACAGGCAGCUGUCAGUGGAGAAGCUGACCAAGUUCUGGACAAAGGACAAGUUACACGUCCAGGCAUGGGGCAUGGUCCAGUCAAAGUUCCACCAAAGCCUGGCUCCUGCCCCAGGAUUCAGAUGAAGUGCGCCAUGAUGAAUCCCCCUAACAAAUGUAUGAUGGAUUCUCAAUGUGCCGGGAACAAGAAGUGCUGUAUGGGCUAUUGUGGAAGAGUCUGUAUGAUGCCCAAGAACUGAAUGGAGGAAGAGGUGGAGCCUGCUCUUGUUGCACCAGUGAAGACCCAGGACUGCAGUCCCUGGUCCCUACAGCAUUUGAAUGCCUUUCUCACAUGGCUCAUUCUUCCUCUCAUCGAGGUUGCCUAAACCUGGGCUGCUUCUCUCAGUGAUUUCCUAAUAAAAGACUGCUUUCUACUCCA